GUCGGUCUUCGGUAGUGGUCCUACGGCGCAGGGAAAUGCGUGCGCCGCGGGACUUCGAUCGUGGGCCGCC
rfam:Rhodococcus sp. MEB064 contig_2, whole genome shotgun sequence.